UGACGGUACCUGACUAAGAAGCCCCGGCUAACUACGUGCCAGCAGCCGCGGUAAUACGUAGGGGGCAAGCGUUAUCCGGAUUUACUGGGUGUAAAGGGAGCGCAGACGGCAAAGCAAGUCUGAUGUGAAAUGCGGGGGCUCAACCCCUGAACUGCAUUGGAAACUGUUUAGCUAGAGUGCAGGAGAGGUAAGUGGAAUUCCUAGUGUAGCGGUGAAAUGCGUAGAUAUUAGGAGGAACACCGGUGGCGAAGGCGGCUUACUGGACUGUAACUGACGUUGAGGCUCGAAAGCGUGGGGAGCAAACAGGAUUAGAUACCCUG
rnacentral:rRNA from 1 species